rnacentral:rRNA from 1 species
AGAGUUUGAUCAUGGCUCAGAUUGAACGCUGGCGGCAUGCCUUACACAUGCAAGUCGAACGGCAGCAUGAUCUAGCUUGCUAGAUUGAUGGCGAGUGGCGAACGGGUGAGUAAUACAUCGGAACGUGCCCUGUAGUGGGGGAUAACUAGUCGAAAGAUUAGCUAAUACCGCAUACGACCUGAGGGUGAAAGUGGGGGACCGCAAGGCCUCAUGCUAUAGGAGCGGCCGAUGUCUGAUUAGCUAGUUGGUGAGGUAAAGGCUCACCAAGGCGACGAUCAGUAGCUGGUCUGAGAGGACGAUCAGCCACACUGGGACUGAGACACGGCCCAGACUCCUACGGGAGGCAGCAGUGGGGAAUUUUGGACAAUGGGGGCAACCCUGAUCCAGCAAUGCCGCGUGUGUGAAGAAGGCCUUCGGGUUGUAAAGCACUUUUGUCCGGAAAGAAAUCGCACUUACUAAUAUUAGGUGUGGAUGACGGUACCGGAAGAAUAAGGACCGGCUAACUACGUGCCAGCAGCCGCGGUAAUACGUAGGGUCCAAGCGUUAAUCGGAAUUACUGGGCGUAAAGCGUGCGCAGGCGGUUGUGCAAGACCGAUGUGAAAUCCCCGGGCUUAACCUGGGAAUUGCAUUGGUGACUGCACGGCUAGAGUGUGUCAGAGGGGGGUAGAAUUCCACGUGUAGCAGUGAAAUGCGUAGAGAUGUGGAGGAAUACCGAUGGCGAAGGCAGCCCCCUGGGAUAACACUGACGCUCAUGCACGAAAGCGUGGGGAGCAAACAGGAUUAGAUACCCCCGUAGUCC